CCUACGGGUGGCAGCAGUGGGGGAUAUUGCACAAUGGGGGAAACCCUGAUGCAGCGACGCCGCGUGUGGGAAGACGGUCCUCUGGAUUGUAAACCACUGUCCCCAGGGACGAAGAUGACGGUACCUGGGGAGGAAGCUCCGGCUAACUACGUGCCAGCAUCCGCGGUAAUACGUAGGGAGCAAGCGUUGUCCGAAUUACUGGGGGUAAAGGGAGCGUUGGCGGGAUGGCAAGUUGGGGUUUAAAUCGACCGGCUAAACUGGUAGUCGGACUCAAAACUGCUAUUCUUGAGUGAAGUAGAGGCAGGCGGAAUUCCUAGUGGAGCGGUGAAAUGCGUAGAUAUUAGGAGGAACACCAGUGGCGAAGGCGGCCUGCUGGGCUUUUACUGACGCUGAGGCUCGAAAGUGUGGGGAGCAAACAGGAUUAGAUACCCGGGUAGUC
rnacentral:rRNA from 1 species